AACGAACGCUGGCGGCGUGGAUAAGACAUGCAAGUCGAACGGGACAGGUAGCAAUAUCUGUCUAGUGGCGAACGGGUGCGUAACACGUGGGCAACAUGCCUGGAAGAGCGGGAUAGCCCGGGGAAACUCGGAUUAAUACCGCAUGUGACAACGGGGCGGCUUCGCCCUGGUGUCAAAGGUGGGGACCGCAAGGCCUGCCGCUUCCAGAUUGGCCCGCGUCCUAUCAGCUAGUUGGCGGGGUAAAAGCCCACCAAGGCGACGACGGGUAGCUGGUCUGAGAGGACGACCAGCCACACUGGAACUGAGACACGGUCCAGACACCUACGGGUGGCAGCAGUCGAGAAUCUUUCACAAUGGGGGAAACCCUGAUGGAGCGACGCCGCGUGGAGGAUGAAGGUCUUCGGAUUGUAAACUCCUGUCAUGAAAGAACAAGCGAUGCGGGUGAACAGCCCGCAAAGUUGAUAGUAUUUCAAGAGGAAGCCCCGGCUAACUUCGUGCCAGCCGCCGCGGUAAUAC
rnacentral:rRNA from 1 species